AUUGAACGCUGGCGGCAUGCCUUACACAUGCAAGUCGAACGGUAACGCGGGGCAACCUGGCGACGAGUGGCGAACGGGUGAGUAAUGCAUCGGAACGUGCCCAGUAGUGGGGGAUAGCCCGGCGAAAGCCGGAUUAAUACCGCAUACGACCUACGGGUGAAAGCGGGGGACCGUAGGGCCUCGCGCUAUUGGAGCGGCCGAUGUCAGAUUAGGUUGUUGGUGGGGUAAAAGCCUACCAAGCCGACGAUCUGUAGCUGGUCUGAGAGGACGACCAGCCACACUGGGACUGAGACACGGCACAGACUCCUACGGGAGGCAGCAGUGGGGAAUUUUGGACAAUGGGGGCAACCCUGAUCCAGCCAUGCCGCGUGCGGGAAGAAGGCCUUCGGGUUGUAAACCGCUUUUGUCAGGGAAGAAACGCUCUGGGCUAAUACCCCGGGGUAAUGACGGUACCUGAAGAAUAAGCACCGGCUAACUACGUGCCAGCAGCCGCCGUAAGAC
rnacentral:rRNA from 1 species